AUUGAACGCUGGCGGCAGGCUUAACACAUGCAAGUCGAGCGGAGAUGAGGUGCUUGCACCUUAUCUUAGCGGCGGACGGGUGAGUAAUGCUUAGGAAUCUGCUUAUUAGUGGGGGACAACAUUCCGAAAGGAAUGCUAAUACCGCAUACGCCCUACGGGGGAAAGCAGGGGAUCUUCGGACCUUGCGCUAAUCGAUGAGCCUAAGUCGGAUUAGCUAGUUGGUGGGGUAAAGGCCUACCAAGGCGACGAUCUGUAGCGGGUCUGAGAGGAUGAUCCGCCACACUGGGACUGAGACACGGCCCAGACUCCUACGGGAGGCAGCAGUGGGGAAUAUUGGACAAUGGGCGGAAGCCUGAUCCAGCCAUGCCGCGUGUGUGAAGAAGGCCUUUUGGUUGUAAAGCACUUUAAGCGGGGAGGAGGCUACCUGGAUUAAUACUCUAGGAUAGUGGACGUUACUCGCAGAAUAAGCACCGGCUAACUCUGUGCCAGCAGCCGCCGUAAUAC
rnacentral:rRNA from 1 species